rnacentral:rRNA from 1 species
CUAGAAUAUGUAGUGUAGCGGUGAAAUGCUUAGAGAUUACAUGGAAUACCAAUUGCGAAGGCAGGUUACUAAUAAUAUAUUGACGCUGAUGGACGAAAGCGUGGGUAGCGAACAGGAUUAGAUACCCUGGUAGUCCACGCCGUAAACGAUGGAUACUAGCUGUUCGGAAGCAAUUCUGAGUGGCUAAGCGAAAGUGAUAAGUAUCCCACCUGGGGAGUACGAACGCAAGUUUGAAACUCAAAGGAAUUGACGGGGGCCCGCACAAGCGGUGGAGCAUGUGGUUUAAUUCGAUGAUACGCGAGGAACCUUACCAGGGCUUAAAUGUAGAGUGACAGAUCUGGAAACAGAUUUUUCUUCGGACACUUUACAAGGUGCUGCAUGGUUGUCGUCAGCUCGUGCCGUGAGGUGUCAGGUUAAGUCCUAUAACGAGCGCAACCCCUGUUGUUAGUUGCCAGCGAGUAAUGUCGGGAACUCUAACAAGACUGCCGGUGCAAACCGUGAGGAAGGUGGGGAUGACGUCAAAUCAUCACGGCCCUUACGUCCUGGGCUACACACGUGCUACAAUGGCCGGUACAGAGAGCAGCCACUAGGUGACUAGGAGCGAAUCUACAAAGCCGGUCACAGUUCGGAUUGGAGUCUGCAACUCGACUCCAUGAAGCUGGAAUCGCUAGUAAUCGGAUAUCAGCCAUGAUCCGGUGAAUACGUUCCCGGGCCUUGUACACUCCGCCC